GACGAACGCUGGCGGCGUGCCUAAUACAUGCCAGUUGAGCGCUGAAGGUUGGUACUUGUACCGACUGGAUGAGCAGCGAACGGGUGAGUAACGCGUGGGGAAUCUGCCUUUGAGCGGGGGACAACAUUUGGAAACGAAUGCUAAUACCGCAUAAAAACUUUAAACACAAGUUUUAAGUUUGAAAGAUGCAAUUGCAUCACUCAAAGAUGAUCCCGCGUUGUAUUAGCUAGUUGGUGAGGUAAAGGCUCACCAAGGCGAUGAUACAUAGCCGACCUGAGAGGGUGAUCGGCCACAUUGGGACUGAGACACGGCCCAAACUCCUACGGGAGGCAGCAGUAGGGAAUCUUCGGCAAUGGACGAAAGUCUGACCGAGCAACGCCGCGGGAGUGAAGAAGGUUUUCGGAUCGUAAAACUCUGUUGGUAGAGAAGAACGUUGGUGAGAGUGGAAAGCUCAUCAAGCGACGGUAACUACCCAGAAAGGGACGGCUAACUACGUG
rnacentral:rRNA from 1 species